rnacentral:rRNA from 1 species
AGUCGUACGAGAGUUUUAAACUCAAGUGGCGGACGGGUGAGUAACACGUAAGAAUUUACCUUUAGGAGGGGGACAACAGCUGGAAACGGUUGCUAAUACCCCAUAUGCUUUCGAGUGAAAUGGAUUUUUCCGCCUAGAGAGAAGCUUGCGGCUGAUUAGCUUGUUGGUAAGGUAAUGGCUUACCAAGGCGACGAUCAGUAUCUGGUUUGAGAGGACGAUCAGACACACUGGAACUGAGACACGGUCCAGACUCCUACGGGAGGCAGCAGUGGGGAAUUUUCCGCAAUGGGCGCAAGCCUGACGGAGCAAUCUCGCGUGAGGGAUGACUGCCUAUGGGUUGUAAACCUCUUUUUUCAGGGAGGAAUAAAAUGACGUGUACCUGAAGAAUAAGCAUCGGCUAACUCCGUGCCAGCAGCCGCGGUAAGA